CCCCACCCGCCCGCCAGUAGAACUGAUACGUGGAUAAAAACAAGCCAUCUUUUCAUCACCUUGAGGAAGCUGUCUUCAGAGGGAGCAUCAGGGACCAAGGAACAUCACAGAUGCCAGUGCCGUAUGCUGCAGGCCAAGAAAGCUCAAAGCUUGUUCGUGGGUUGAAAGAGGAAUGGCUUCAUUUGACAUUUUGUUUCCUGUUUAGGUUCCAAGUUCCCUCCCUGGCAUCUCCAAGACAGGGCUGAAAGAGACUCCUGCCUGCAACCUUGGAGAAGCCACAGCCAGUCUGUGUAGACAAUACUGAGCUAGAUGGACCAGUGGUCCAGGGGUGUAGCUAUAACUGAGCUGAUGGGCUCAAAGAACCUGGGGCCCCCAGCUCCUGAGGGCCCCCCAGCUCCACCCCUCCCUAUUUUCUUCAUUUCUUCAGAGUGAGUGAGAUACCCUCACUCUGAGGUGCCACUGGGGAGAGGGGCGAGCAGGGCCCCCCUCUCCCCUAGCUAUGCCCCUGCAAUGGUCUGACUCAGUGUAAGGCAGCUUCCUAUGUUCCUAUGGUCCAGCGAUACACAGGUACACUUUGGACUGAUUUCCACAAUUGUGGCUGCACCUUUUGGAAGUAUUUCAGUGGGUGACAGUAUAUAUGACUAUUUGAAGAACUAUAUAAUGCUAGUUCAUAUGGCCUAUUUCUCCAUACAGUCACAUAAUUGAAUGUAACUUGUAUGAAGAGAAAAUAAACAGACCCUGUCCUACCCUUUUCUAUAUAUGACAGGUAGUAUGUAUGUCAGGAAACGCCUGGGUUGUGGCUGAGAGGCAAACUCUUUAGACAGCUGUCCUGUGUGGCAAGAUGCUGAACUGCCCCACAAGAACAUAGAGUACUCCAGGUUAACCACUGGAUCCUUCUAGAAGGAGGAGGAUAUGAAGACUUCCUGUCUGGGCUUUGCCUCAGUUUCAGGGUCUCCUUGAUCUUGGAUUUUAGUUUUGGCUCUGAAUUUUGGAUUGUCUUCUGUGCCAGGAACACUCCUGGUUCCUGUUUGUCUGCUUGGCUUGACCACUGGCUUUGGCUCUGACUUUUGACAUACCUUCCACUUUGAGUUUCUGUUGUUCAUCAGGCCUUGACCCUUAGCUUCAGUGUUGACUCCUAGCUUGCUUCUUGAUCCCAGUUCCUGGCUCUCUCUCUCUC